GACGAACGCUGGCGGCGUGCUUAACACAUGCAAGUCGAACGGAAAGGCCCUGCUUUUGUGGGGUGCUCGAGUGGCGAACGGGUGAGUAACACGUGAGUAACCUGCCCUUGACUUUGGGAUAACUUCAGGAAACUGGGGCUAAUACCGGAUAGGAGCUCCUGCUGCAUGGGGGGGGUUGGAAAGUUUCGGCGGUUGGGGAUGGACUCGCGGCUUAUCAGCUUGUUGGUGGGGUAGUGGCUUACCAAGGCUUUGACGGGUAGCCGGCCUGAGAGGGUGACCGGCCACAUUGGGCCUGCGAUACGGCCCAGACUCCUACGGGCGGCAGCAGUGGGGAGUAUUGCACAAUGGGCGGAAGCCUGAUGCAGCAACGCCGCGUGCGGGAUGCCGGCCUUCGGGUUGUAAACCGCUUUCGCCUGUGACGAAGCGUGAGUGACGGUAAUGGGUAAAGAAGCACCGGCUAACUACGUG
rnacentral:rRNA from 1 species